CGGCCGUACGAGUUUGACACGUACAAAUUUUUUCGUUCGUUGUUAUAUUUUUGAUUCCUGUGUUUUGUGCUUGUGUGUAUUUUAUUUCAACUUCACUCUGUAUUCACAUCGACAUUUAAUUGUGUACUCAAUUCCACUUUCGUGCAUCGAAAAUGAACAUUUUACAUCGGAAAUAAGAAAAGAAUCAUGAAAAAAUCACCAUAUUUAUAUGAACGGACACGGAAAUUGUGUGAAAAGUAAAGUGAAAAUUGGAUAAUGCACGGAAUACCCUUGUCCGUGCUGUUUUGCUUGUGAGCAUUGCAUCGCGAUUUCGCUCACCACAAAGAAAUCAUAAGUUUGUGGAUAAAAAUCAAAUCACAUAUAAAAUUGUGUCAAAUUUGUUGAAAACCAAAAGGUUAAAAGCAGCAGAAUCUGCAAACUCAAUUUUAAAAGUCAAAACGAAUCAUCAAGUAACAUUUUGUGGUGACACCAAAGAAGCCUUGUGUGUCGUCGACCCAAAUUUUAAACGAAAAAAGAAAGAAACAAUUCACGUAAACGAUGUUGUGCAUGCACAAUUGGUUCAAAGUAAAUAUUUACCAAUAAUAAAGCAAAGAGGAAAUUUACAGAGAAAAUAUAAAAUAAUUAACAACCGCAUAAAAAUAGGUAACUCAUUUACCAAACACAGUGAGUGAGAAGGAAACAAAAACAGAAAGUUUACGAAAUAGAAUCAAGUGUGGUCAAUACAAAAAAAAGUCGCGUAACCAACGACGAAAGAAACAAAUCAAAUAACCGCAGCAACAGCAACAGCAACAGAAUAUUUAUAUGUUUAUAUACCUUUAAAAAGAAAUACCAUUUGAAAAACCAUAGAAUCGCUGAGCGAGAGUAAGAAAGAGAGAAAAAGCGCGAAUCUGAGAGUCGAUACCAAUUCGCAAAAAGGGGACAACAAAGAACCGAAUUGCGAAAAAAAAACUGAUUUCUACAAACACAUAUGAACAAUUUGUUAAGUGAUUUCUUUUGUGCGGACUGGUUGUUGCUGGCGUUAACACAUAUACAUACACAGAAAACCAGCUAAGAAAUAAUAAGAAACAGAGACAGCCAGCAGCUAAAAUUCAACAUACGAAAAAAAAAAACACACGAAAAAACAUUAACAACAACAGCAGCAGCAGCACAAAGUAAACGAAGGCAAACCAAAAGACGGGAAUAAAAGCGCAUAAGAGAGAGAAAUGAAAGCCGUCUGAACGAAUAACACACGCUGAAUCGUUGUAUUGCAUGUGCUACGAACCGAUAUCUUGGUGUUUGUGUUGUUUAGCUAUUGUGCAUGGUCUUUUUCUCUCUCAUUUUUGCCAUUGUACGAUACAUUAGGCGAACGCACACUUGUACAAACAACAGCAACGGCAACAACAUCGUCAAUAUUGCAUUCCCUUCUUUGCCUUUCCACAUUUUUUUCCUCUCUCUCGUUAUCUUCUUUGCACACGCACCGAGGCAAUAGUACGGUGUGAGUCGCUAUCUCAUUUGGAUGUAUAUAUAUUUUUUUCACCCGUAUGUGGAUUUCAUCUGACGGGCUCAAAAAGAAAAAAACAACAGAGAACACAAAUUAAAAAGGAACCAGAAACAUACAAUCGCCGAACGUGUCAUAUAGUUGGAAUAGUGUGCGUGCAUGUAAUAGUUGUUGUUUCUCUUUUGAUAUUUUUUGUGUAGCUGCGUUUGGGUUUUUUUCGUCUCUUCUCUGCUGUGAUGCCUCUAUAGAAAACAGAGUGUUUGUGAUUUGGUGAGGCUGAAUGGUAGCUUGGUUAUUACUACGAUUUUUUUUUUGACUCGAUUCAUAUACAACGAGCACAAGUAUUCACCGUACAAAAACUCAAGCAAUAUACAAACAACAAAUAAAUGUUUAAGUACCCCAUUCACUUGUACACAGGGCUCACAACAGUGAUUUGGACCGAUUUUGUCUUUUCACACUCCAUUCAUUUAUAUAUAAAGUUGUAGUUGGUGCAAUAAAUAUUUGCUGUUGAUAGAUCAUUUCAUCUUUUCUGAUGUCUGGUAUCACAGCAUGACACAUUGUUUGGGCUCACAUUGGAAUUGAAUGGGUGCAAAAUACGAGUACACUUGUUUAUCUAUGCAUUGAUGUGUGUUACCCGAAAACAAAAAGAAGAAAAAAAAAACCAACCGAUAUGGUAUCUAUUUACCAUGAAUGGCAAUUUGUUUUGUGAGUUAACAAAUCGACUGACAGAGAGAAAAUAUCGCGCUAUGCAUAUAAAGAGAAAAAUACCCGAUUCGGCGAAAAUAAAUGCAUGUUUGCAUUAGCAUUGAAAGCGUUUCAUGAACUCUGAAAAAUAGGAUACGUGAUAAAUAACUGUAAUCAACAUAAAGUCGAUUAAAAACAUCAAAACUUAAAUAAAUAAUAAGUGAGCACAUACAUAUCGAGAUAAAAAAAAAAAUAAUAAAAAAAAAACAGCCACAGCAACAAACGCAAACGAAAUCGUCGUAUUGAAAAGAGAAAAUUGUGUGGCCAUUUUUUUUUCUCUCAUUCGCCACAUACAUGAGUAAUUACGAAUCACAGUGCCGUUAGUGAUUGUAUUCCAAUAACACUUCGAAUAACGUAUACGCAUACGCACAGGUGUAAGGGGCAAAUAUACAUAAGAAGAAAAAACACAUUCCAUCUGUUGGUUGUUGGAACACCGAAACGUGAAUUCAUUCACAGCAUAGCAAACUCGAUUAAAUCUUAUGUGUACAUAAAUUGUCAUUAGUUCGUACACGGUGCUCCAACAUAGACGAGGCCGUGGCACACCGUGAUUAUGUGCGAUAGCAGAAGAAAGUGAAGAGAGUGGACUAUGACGGACCAAAGUGAAAACGUAUAACGAGCGCGCGCGAGUCAACCGAUAACAAUCGUCGUACAACAAGACACUCUUUUCGCGAGAAAUAAAAACAUUCGCGAAACGAGGCUAAAUCUAGCCGGAGCUCUCUCGCCUCGAAUCAUAAGUGGUGUAUAUAAAUAAAACAGACGAAAAAAAACGGUGUUUCUUUCAUAAAUAAAAAUGGAACGAAAAAAAUGCAAAAAGAAACAAUCAACAUCCUGAAUAAAUUUAUGGUUGUGAUUGGUAUUGCAUUUGAAAUUAAUCGUCGUCCGGUGUGAGAAGUACAUUUACACGAAAACAGUGUGUGAUUUGUGUCGCAACGCAACCAAUAGUGAAGAACGAAAGAUAUAUAUAAAAGAACUUAAUACGGUCGGUGCCGAAAAAGUAUAAACAACAAUUUGCGCUCUAUUGCGAUAUUUCAUUCAUCCGUUUAAACCCAUGCGGUGAAUAAACAUCGAACAAACAGGCGGCUAUAAAUCGAGUUCAAUAUCUUCAUCGCUUUGGCAACCCCUCAUUUUUUUUCUUCUUCAUCUUUCGAGUCGCAGUACUUUGCUUCAACUAAAUGCAGGGCAUUGGUAAUUCGAUUCAUUAUUCUCGGUCAUCGAAGUGAAUGAGGAACGUCACAGCACUCGAACCAUACCCAUCAACAUCAGCACCAAGCGAACGCAUACAUAUCGGGAUAUCAGUUUUAAUGAAUCCAAUGAAACGAGCAAAUGUGCGUAAGCAAAAUCAAUGCAUGGGGAAAAAAUUGCAUUAACCAUAAUGCGAAUAUAUUUAGCUUAGCCUGUGUGGCACGAACGAAGUUCAAAAGAGUAAAUCAAAAAGCAAACGUGUAACAUACAUGAACUUAUUCACACGAACAUGACAUAAGAAGAACGACGACGACGACGACGCACACGGUGUUUGAAGAAAUUUAGAAAACGAAAAGAAAAACUUUAUUUUUUUUUUGUGAUAGACAUUUUUUGCAGCUCGCUCGACUUUUGUGACGACACAUAUUUUUGCGAUGUUGCCAAAAGGCAAAAGUAUUAAGUACCAUUGCUUCUGAAAUACGGACCAAUCUAAGAUGCCAAAUCAAACAAAUCUUCGAAGUGAAUAUUAUAAAAUUUUAAUGUCUUCGUGAAUUUCCUAUGCAUAUUUCAUACGAUUUUCAUUUAAUUCCAAUGAAAAGAAAAUACCAAUUUUGAAAUCAUUUAAGUGAGAAAGAAAGAGAAAGAUUAACGAAAUUUUUUUGUAUGAAUUUUAUAUUAAAACUUAUGCGAAUAGUGAACGAACAGAACAAUUAAAUGAACAUUUUAAUUGAAUUAAAUAAGUAUAUAGAUGCGUAUAAAAAAAAAAUUUUAUGUAAUCACAACAUAAAUUUAUGUAUGUGAGUGACCCAAGAACACAUAAUACGAAACGAACAAGCGCGCACACAGCCAAAUUAUUCCCCCUUUUUUCGAACAUAUCAACGGCAACAAUAAAAAUUAAUUAUUAUCGUACAGUAGCAAGUUUUGUACAAUUUGUUUAAAAAAAAAACCUAACGUGCUGCGAAAUAUCAAAAUUGCUCUCGGCGCACACAACUACACAACGAUAACAACGACGAAGGCGGCGACAGCAACAACAGAGCCCGAUAAUAUAUAUCUAUAUAAAAGUGUUUUUUUAGCUGUGUACAAGUCAUAAUAAUUUUACGUAGUGUUUAGUGUUGAAAGUGAUCGAAUUCCAUAGUUUGUAUAAGUAAGAAACGAAAAAGAAAUUUUUUUUAAUCAAAAUAUCAAAAAUGAAUCGUUCUGCGGCCACACGAUUUCAAUGCACAAUGAAAUCAAAAAUCACUCAAAUUACUGUAAUUUUACUUGCUAUGCUUAAGAUAUGUUAUAGUGCAGACAUAGUUAUUGAGAUACCUGGUAAUUUAGGACAAGACGAUUCAUCAUAUCGUUUAGACUAUUAUCCACCGUACGGUAAUCCAUUGCCAAAUACAACGAUUGCAUCGAAAGAUGUGGGCGACGAAAUUCGAUUCUCAAAUGUUUUGGCUGGUACAAAAUAUAAUUUCUGGCUUUACUACACCAAUUCAUCGCAUCACAAUCUGCUCGCUUGGACCGUUUCCAUAACCACCGCACCAGAUCCACCGUCAAAUUUAUCGGUGUCGGUGAAGAGCGGCAAAUCGGCGGUCAUCUCGCUAAGUCCCCCAUCCAAAGGCAACUAUUCAUCGUUCAAAUUGCGGAUAUUGGGCUUAUCCGAUGGAUUCGUUACGAAUCGAACCAUUCCAAUUGAAGCCAACGAGCUACAGUACAAUGUACGCGAUUUAUCGCCAGGGGCCAGCUAUCAAGUCCAAGCAUUCACCGUCUUUGACAACCGAGAAUCGGUGGCAUAUACUAGUCGCAACUUUACAACAAUGAAAAGAAUACGUCACAAAGACCUGUUGGAUAUUAAAAUACUCAGAGAGCCAAAUACACCAGGCAAAUUCAUUGUUUGGUUUAGAAAUGAAACAACAUUGCUUGUUUUAUGGCAACCACCAUAUCCGGCUGGUAUCUAUACACAUUAUAAAGUAUCAAUCGAGCCACCAGAUGCGAUGGAAAGUGUUUUAUAUGUGGAGAAAGAAGGCGAACCGCCAGGUCCAGCACAAGCUGCAUUUAAAGGUUUGGUACCCGGACGCGCUUAUAAUAUUUCCGUUCAAACAAUGUCCGAAGAUGAAAUUUCAUUUCCAACUACCGCACAAUAUCAGACAGUACCGUUAAAACCGUUGAACGUAACAUUUGACAAAGAAUCAAUAACGUCGAAUGGUUUUCGUGUAAUAUGGGAGGCUCCGAAGGGAUUGAGCGAAUUCGAUAAGUAUCAAGUAUCAAUAUCGAAUUCACGACGUCAACAGAACGUUCCGCGUACCGGUGAUUCGGUUACUUGGCUUGAAUUCAGAGAGAACUUGGAACCAGGUCGAACAUAUCAAGUAACAGUGAAAACGGUAUCAGGGAAAGUCACAUCGUGGCCUUCAACUGGUGAUGUUACAUUGCAACCGUUGCCGGUUAUUAAUCUUCGAUCGUAUACCAACAAUAAAACCGGCCUCGUUACCAUCUCUUGGGACCCCGAUGAAGGGAGCUAUGAAGAAGAAUAUAAAAUUAGCUAUCAUGAAGUUGAAACAUUUAACGGUGAUUCCAGCACAAUGAAUACAAAUCAAACGAGCUAUGUAUUGGAAUCACUUUUACCCGGUCGAAACUAUUCGCUAACGGUACAAGCAAUUUCAAAGCACAUGGAAUCAAAUGAAUCAACUAUCUAUGUGGUUACACGACCAUCAUCGCCAAUCAUCGAAGAUCGGAAAUCAAUUAAAGAAGGUUUGAACAUCAGCUGGAAGAGUGACGUUAACUCGAGACAAGACAAAUACGAAGUGAUUUACUAUCGAAACGACACUGGCGAAGAGAAAACAUUCACAACAACCGAUUCACGGCUUAUCAUCCGCAAUUUGUACUCUGGAGCUGGUUAUGAAAUCAAAGUGUUUGCCGUUAGUCAUGGUCUUCGAUCCGAACCACAUUCAUACUUUGUGGCUGUUUAUCCAAAUCCACCGCAAGAUAUGACUAUCGAAAAGGUGACAAGUAAUUCGGUGCUUGUUCAUUGGUUGCCACCAAAAAAGAGUGAAUUUUCAUCGUAUGUCAUUCGGUAUCGUACCGAAAGCGAAAAAGAAUGGCUACCAUUGCCAUCGGUAACAACCACAGAAGCUGAUGUCACCGAUAUGACUCCAGGCGAAAAGUAUACGAUUCAAGUGAAUACGGUGAGCUACGGUGUCGAAAGUCCAAAUCCACAACAAGUUAAUCAAACCGUGCGACCUAAUCCAGUUUCGAAUAUUUUCCCAUUGGCCGAUUCAACCAAUAUCACACUCGAAUGGCCACGACCUGAAGGUCGGGUUGAAACUUAUGUACUUUCAUGGUGGCCAUCAGAAAGACCAGAAGAAGUUCAUACGAAAAAUAUGUCGGAGGCGAAUGUUUCACUGAUUGAUAUCAAUAAAAAAGUCGAGGAUCAGCCCAUCGUUCGUGUUUUGAUUGGUGAUUUAAUGCCUGGAGUUGAAUAUAGAUUCGAUAUCCAUACCAUUUCGUACAAUUUGAUAAGUGAUGUAACUCAGUUAUCUGCCCGAACAUUGCCUCUGAUUUUGUCCGAGGUGUUGGUGGUGAAUAAUCACGGUGAACGAGAUACAGUGACUUUAAGCUAUACCCCAACACCGCAAAAGUCUUCCAAGUUUGAUUUGUAUCGUUUCUCGCUCGGCGACCCCGACAUUCCGGACAAAGAAAAAUUGGCCAAUGACACCGACCGGAAGGUUACAUUUACCGGUCUAACGCCAGGGCGUUUGUACAAUAUCACCGUGUGGACGGUUAGUGGUGGUGUUUCAAGUCUUCCGAUUCAACGUCAAGAUCGAAUGUAUCCAGAGCCGAUAACAAAAUUAAACGCAACACGUAUAACACCCGAACAAAUCACACUAAACUGGGACAUACCACAAGGCGAAUACAAUUCAUUUGAAAUCCAGUAUUUACGUUCAGACAUUGAAUUAACUGUCAACAUUACGAAUCACAAUCAUAUCACAAUAUCGAAUCUAAGACCCCAUCGUCAAUAUACAUUUACCGUUGUUGUACGGUCUGGCACUGAAUCAAGUGUAUUGCGUAGUAGUUUACCAGUGUCGGCGACAUUCAUGACUAAAGAAUCUGUUCCGGGAAGUGUUAAUAGAUUUUCACCCAUCGAUAUUCAGCCGAGUCAAAUUACAUUUGAAUGGUCACUUCCAAGUACCGAACGAAAUGGUGUUUUACAACAAUUUUCAAUAACAUAUGGCUUGGAGGGAUCGUCACACACUCAGGUCAAAGAUUUCAAACCCACCGAAUUACAAGGUACAAUUUACAAUUUACUACCUGGACGCUCGUAUGCGUUCCAUAUUCAAGCCAAGACAAAUGUUGGCUACGGACCGGAAACUAUGUGGAAAGAGAAAAUGCCGAUUUUAUCACCGCCAAAACCCCCACCACAAGUGGUCCCAACUGAGGUCUAUCGCAGUUCGUCAUCGAUUCAAAUUCGAUUCCGGAAAAAUUACUUUUCUGAUGCAAAUGGACAGGUGAAUAUGUAUACAAUCAUCAUUGCGGAGGAUGAUUCAAAGAAUGCAUCCGGUCUGGAGAUGCCAAGUUGGCGUGAUGUUCAAGCGUACAGUGUAUGGCCACCGUAUCAAGUGAUUGAACCAUACUAUCCAUUCAAAAAUAGCACCAUCGAAGACUUUACAAUUGGCGUCGAGAACUGUGAAAAUCGUUUCAAUGGCUACUGCAAUGGACCGUUGAAAUCAGGCACCACAUAUCGUGUUAAAGUUCGAGCAUUUACUGCAGCCGAUAAAUUUACAGACACUUCAUUCAGUUUUCCCAUACAAACGGAUCUCUUGUAUAUGAUGGAUCAAGAUAAUACAUCGUUGAUUGUGUCGUUGGCCGUGCCGUUUGCACUAUUUUUUGCAUUUUGUGUAAUCGUAUCCAUUCUGUACGUGCGACGAAAACGGCACGGCGGUCGCCGAACAACCAAGGAAUCACGAGCCAAUGAUAAUAUGUCAUUACCAGACAGUGAAGUUGAAACCAGCCGCAAGAUUUAUCUCAAGAAUUUCUCCGAACAUUUCCGAUUGAUGUCGGCCGAUUCAGAUUUUCGUUUCAGCGAAGAGUUCGAUGAGCUCAAGCACGUUGGUCGUGAUCAACCGUGUCAAUUUGCUGUGUUGCCAUGUAAUCUACCUAAGAAUCGAUUCACAAACAUCCUCCCGUACGAUCAUUCUCGCUUUAAAUUGCAACCGGUUGAUGAUGACGAAGGUUCGGACUAUAUCAACGCCAAUUACGUACCAGGUCACAAUUCACCUCGAGAGUUCAUCGUGACACAAGGUCCACUACAUUCGACACGUGAUGACUUUUGGCGUAUGUGCUGGGAAAGUAAUUCGCGUUCAAUUGUAAUGCUAACACGAUGCUACGAGAAAGCCCGCGAAAAAUGCGAUCAAUAUUGGCCGUUGGAUACGGAUCCAUUGCACUAUGGUGACAUAAAAGUGCAAAUGCUUAACAAUAGCCAUUAUCCGGAUUGGAUAAUCACCGAAUUAAUUGUGAGUCGGGGCAAUGAACAGCGAACCGUUCGUCAUUUGCACUUCACAACGUGGCCAGAUUUUGGUGUUGUACCGCCACAAACAUUGGUACGAUUUGUACGCGCUUUCCGGGAUCGAAUUAAACCGGAUCAAAGGCCGGUGGUCGUGCAUUGCAGCGCCGGAGUUGGUCGCUCCGGUACAUUCAUUGCGCUCGAUCGAUUGCUACAGCAAAUUAAAGUUUGUGAUUUUGUUGAUAUUUUCAAUAUCGUGUACACCAUGCGAAAAGAACGUGUAUGGAUGGUUCAGACCGAAUCACAGUACAUUUGUAUUUAUCAGUGUUUGUUGACAGUCCUCGAAGGAAAAGAGAACACCAGUCCAAUUAGGGAAAUUCACGAUAAUCAAGGAUACGAAGAAAAAGACUUACUAACUGAUCAAGAAAAUGGCACUAUUGCAAUAGUUAAAGCGAUUGAUACAAGCUUGCAAGAUGAUGACGGCAGCACAACGAAUUGGAAAGGAGAGAGAUGACAAGACGAGAAUGCCAACAAUAAUAGCAUGCUUAUUAUUGUUAAUACGGCAUUCGAGGAACCAGUAAAAAAUUCGGAUGAAGAAACAGCACAGGCAACGAACGAUGAAAAUGCCAUCGUUCAAGACAUCGAAUUGGCGGUCAUGAGUAUGGAUGAAAGUUUAAAUAGUUCAAAUGAAAUCAAUGAAAGUCCAAUCGAUGGCGAAGAAAUCGACACCAGUGAUAAUAAUACCACAAAUAAUACACAAACCACAGCCGAAUGUGACGAUCGAUUACUACCGAUUGAACAGAAACACAUACGAAAUGGUAGCGGAAGUAGUAACUAUGAUGAUUAUGAGGCAGACGAAAAUCUCUCAAUAAGUGUCGACGAAUUACGAAAGCACAAUGGCGAUUAUGGUAUACAAGACGUUCAAAAUGCAGACGAAACACGAAAAUUGGUCAAUGGUGAAAAUGGCAGCGAAUUAGAAGACUGCGAUUAUUAUUCCGAUGCUGAUAAUGAUGCUGAUGUCGAACAACAUCGGGCGGACAUAAUAAAAUUUAAUGGUGGUGACGGGAUUAUAGCUAAUCAUUUUAUUGAUGAUGAAGGCAUCGCCGAAUCGGGAAUGUGAUUUCAUGAAGUCAUUAUGUAAAAAGAAAAUUAUUCAUAUUAUUACUACGGAAACGAAUAACAACAAGGCCAACUAUAUUUACACAUUAUUUUUAAAUUUUAUAUAAUCAUUUUUCAAUCGAGUUUUUUUUUUUUUUUUAACGUAAAAUUCUGUUUUAUAUCCAAAAACAUGGAUAGCAAUUGAACAAAUAGCCAUUUUAGAUGGUAACGAAAGGUGGAUCACUUAACUAUAAUAAUAACCAUAUGAACAAAACUAUCAAAACUAUAUUAAUGGAUUAUAAUUUUUAUGACGUUCCUCCAUCGCAAAUAGUUUUUGUUGUUGUGAAAAAGCAAUUGUAAAAAAAAAAUAUGAAGAAAUACUAUAAGACGAUCGAUUUUAAAGUCAUCGAACAAAAAAAAAAUGCUUGUAUAGAAUUUGAUGUGAUCGAUGGUGUUUGUGUAAUUAAGAAUUUAAUAGAUAUUUUAAAUAGACGACAAAACGCCGUGCAAUAGUGCUCGAUUUGUGCGAUUUUAAUCAAAAUUUAUAUACAUACAUAAUAUUCAUAAACAUAUACUAUAUAUAUAUUCAUAUAUUAUCGGAUAAUACUAAAAACAAUCGAAAUCGGCAGAUGAGUAAUCGAUUAGAUUUCCAAUGUAUGCAAAUUUAAUAACAUCACGACGUAUAUUAAGCUAUCACUUGAUAUUUUCCAUAAUUUUGGCCGUUCAUCCAAAAUAAUUUUCAAUCAGAUCGAGUGAUGGCGCGGCCAAUGGGCCCGAUGCGGGGCACAUUAAUGCAAGAUUUCUUUAAUUUUCCCUAUUUUACAAUUAAUUUUGCGUAUGGAAAAUGAUUUAUUUACAGUUGUAUAUGUUAACAUUGGUAUUGAUCUGAUCCUCUUAUUGGUUAGAUCUAUCUAUUUGUUUCGAUUGCACAAAUUUUUUUUGCAAUUGUUUUGUUUACUAGAUUGUUUAAAGUUUAUAUAUAAAUAAACAAACACACACAAAAAAUCAUAAGUAACCGAACAAAAUUCAAUUAUCAUGACAUCACAAAUUUGGCAUAAAAAAAGCUCAUUAAACUCUCUUUAAUUACAAUUGUGUUGUGAUGGAUUUAUAAAUGACAGCAUUAACUUUUGAAUGUAUUCGAAUUGUCUUUAUUUCUGUUUUAUUUAAAUGUAAAAGUCUUGUACUGUGCCUGUCUCCUCGUGUAAAUUUACCUCUUUUUAAUGUAGUAGACUAGAUAAAUGUAUCAAAUGUAGCCAAUUCUUCGUUUCGUUUUAUUUCUUCAGCAUACAGUUAUAUCGAAAUAUAUCUAUGUGUAUUGAGUAACUUAUACCUUUGAUCGAUUUUCUAUCAUUUAAAAAAAAAACAACAAUGGAAAACAAUCAACAAUUUUUGACAUGUCUUUUUUGAAACACAAAAUCGACUACGAAAAUAUAAAAUACAACAUGUAAAACACCGAUUCAAAGUUCAAAACAAUAGUCUUUCCCAACUAAAUAUAUGCAAUAACUUCCCCAUGACGACAUUUUGAGAAUGACCUACCAUUUUUGAUACAUUUUUUUUAACAUUGUAAAUCCCGUCCUCCAUGUAGCGAUAAAGAACACCGUAGAAUCGAUCCGAAUCUCAUACAAAUUUUCACAAAAAAACAUGUAUUACGUCAGUAGUAUUUAAUCAUUAUAAUGAAGCGUAAAAUGAGAACGAAAAAGGAUGAAAGUAGACGAGGAAGUAUUAGUGUAAUUUUAAACGGUAUUAUUUACAAAAUGUCUUUCUUUUUAUUUUAGUCACUAUUUUGUAAAAUUGUGAAUCAAAUCGAUAUUGUUUAUAAAAUAUUCAGCAAUAUAGACCAUGAUAAGAACGCAUUGAACAAAACAAAUUGGAGUAAUAAAAUCGAGAAAAAAUACUAAUUAAACAUAUCUUUUAAAAUA